UUCUCUUGCAAAAUAGGAGAUAUUAUAACUAAUUAUUUUCAUAAACCUUUAAGUUAGUUUUGCCAAUACAUUCAAAACUUUUAACUGUACACUUUCAUUUCUGAUUCAAACAUUUUCAUAUCAAAUUCAGUCAAAACAUUCAAAUCAUUUUUUUACUCUGGUCAUCAAACAUCAAAUAGUGUCCAAUAGGGUGGGACUUUCCAAAUAAGUGACUAGCUUUAAAUUGUUCCUUUAAGGUGGACGAAACAAAACACUACUAGUAUUAAUAACCUCUAACCAAACCCUUAGAGGCUGAGGUUCAAAUCAAUUACAUUCCCCAUCAAGAAAUGUAAAGAUCAACUAUUAUAUCCCGUUGACAAGAACCAAACAAAUCAGAGUCAAACACUUAUUUCAAUUAUUCAAAUUUGCAAAACAUAAUAUCUCCACAUUUCUCUAUUGUAAACAAAAUAUAAGGUUCUAACAUACUUUUCAUGCAAAACAUAUUUGAUUCAUGCAUAAAACCAAUGUUUUAAAAACCGGACCGGACCGGCCGGUCGGACCGGUUCAACCGUCGACCGGUCACAAAUCCGGUCCGGCUUGCCCUAUUGAACCGUUUAACGAUCAAACCGGUCACGAACCGCCUAAACCGGCGGUCGGACCGGUGACCCGGUGGAACCGGACGGUUCUAAUCGAACCGAACAGUUCCAGUUAGCCACCCUUUUAAAGGUUUUCUUAUAUAAAAGGCUUGGGCAAAAGCCCAUGCUGGGGGCCUUGUCUCAUAAUGACACAGCCCACAUCCCACUAAAUCAUAUUAUGGGCUUAGACUUGAGCCCAACUGAUGAUGUAAUGCAUUGCCCAUUUGCCCCUUAAUGUGGAUGGCUUUUAUAGGCAUCCUUUGCAUCCUCAUUUCACUUGGAAUCCGAUGUGGGAUUGCUAACCAACCUAAUCAAUGAAAAAAAAAUAGCAAGUCCCACCGUGAGGAUUUGAACCUUGGACCCCAAGGUCUAUAGGCAUCCCAAGACACCACUCAACUACAUAGCUUUUGUUAUCUUAUAUGCAAACAAAAUAAUAUAUAUUAGAUUUUAAAUUUUUUUAUAAUAUUAAAUAAAAAUAAAAUAAUAUUUUUAAAAAUGAUAAAAUUAGUUUAAAUUUUCAUUUUUAAUAUAUUCACAUUUAAAUAUUUUACAUAUUCCAUUUAAUAAAAU
rnacentral:lncRNA from 1 species